rnacentral:tRNA from 1 species
AUAUAAGAAGUAAUAUUUACAUUUAAUUUCGACUUAAAAAUAGAUUUAUAAAUAAAUCCUUAUAUU